rnacentral:lncRNA from 1 species
AGCGCAUGGAGAUCAAAGCGAGAGAGAAGUAAUACUCAAAUGAAUCUCACCCGACAUUACUGCAAGUGCUUAUUAUAUUUUAAGGGAAUUUCAUUUUUGAAAAACCCGAGAAAUGUCACAAUUAAAAAUAAUUGUUUGAACGUGAUCCGCAUUCACUACAACUUCGCGUUCGCAUUUCCGCGCAUUUUCUGUUCUGAAAUGAAGCAUGGAAUUACAUGUUGUAACUUCGUCACGUUUUAAUUCAAAUUCAUGGAGCCAUUGGUGUUGGUUGGUCCGACUCUUAAUUUUCAUCAAGAUUUACGGUCGAAAUCGACGAUCUUUCAACGCCACCUCUUACUCUCUUACAACUUAUUACUUCCGUCAUACUCUUCCAGUCAAUAAUUUCAUGUCCGACCUUUCUUCGAUUCACUGUGAUCCGACACGAUGGGAGGGAGGGGGUGCCACUUGUUACCCACCCCACAGCAGCGGCCCCCGUGAAACCGUGCGCGCGAGCAUGCGCACAAGCGCGCUAGUGCGUACUUGCACUGCGUUACACGCGAGCUUCAGCGAAGGUCUCUCCCCUGCCUUCAUUUCGUCAAUACUCCGUGCGCUACGAGUUUUUCCGCCUCCUCUUCAGCCCGGCUACACCUUCCCGACGCAAAUUUUGGAUUAACCCUUCUUCGUUUCAGGCUUAUUGAUUCACCACCACAACCUCGUAAGGGGCAAUACCUCGGUCAUUUUUUGAAAAACGGAAACAGGAAGCAAACAUGUUUUAUUGAAGCAAAGCGCUUUUAUUCGUAGAAGCUAUUGGAUCUCCACUCUAAGCUCUUCCUCCCGUUUCCAGCUCUUUGGAUUGAAAUAUAUCUCUUGAUCGUGAUAAAGAAUAAGCCACUAAAAUAAUCGUAUGUCUCUGAAUUGAAUGAAUCUGAUUUAGAUUUGGGUUAAGUGGUAAAUUGGAUGUCAGCGAUGGAUAUAGCAAUAUUGAAAUUCAAGUACAAAUGGACACACGAACAUGAAAUGCUCCUCAGUCAGCAAAGGGACGAACUGAGAGACUGAAAUAUGUGCUUUGCACUACUUUAAAAGUUCUCUGAAGAUAUUUUAAGAUUUGCAGCUCCUCGCGCAGUUUUAAUUCAAAGCUCCCCCGAGAACCGGAGGGACCUGAUUUUGUGGCUUUGUUUGUUGAAGCGUAGCAGGUUAUUGAUGAAAACUUUAACCAAAAUUAUUGUAACUUUUUACGGAUACUACAAACUGUUUCGGAAUAAUCUGAACUGUGGCUUUCUUGAAUUUGGGCAGACCUUUGAAUUGUCUGAGACCAACAUCUAUAAACGUAUAAAACAGAAAAUAGGAUCCAAGAAAAAUUGCCCGUUUUACUCAGCGGUUUCUUGAUCAAUGUGCCAGAUAAGUUGGACAAAGGUAUAAAGUUCAAAAUUCGAAAUAUAUUUAUGACAAAAUGUAUUCAUCCAGAUAUAAUGGAAGUAUUGUGAAUUCAUUUUCUGAUUAGAAAUUCAUAUCUUCUAAAAUUGAUAUCAAAUUUUUAGGAAAAUUUUCGCAGAACAAAAUUUUUCUCGUUCGUUGAAACCGAUCGACAUUUUACUCACAUUUAAAUUUCUUUUGCUGAGGAAAAACACACUGUGAAAACGCUCUCCUUUGGUGAGUUGCAGUUUAAGUGAAUUAAGUGGGAAAACCAAAUAGAUGCUUACUAUAUUUUCACACGAUUGAAAAGAGUAACAAUUUCAAAUUUCGAUUUUGAAAGAUCGGAGAAUUGUAUCUGAUAAUAAUGUUCCUGAACUGCCAUCUCUCGUUUCCGAUCAUUUGACGUAAUUUGAUAUUUCUCCAUAAAUUUUGAAUUGCAUUUCUCGUUUGAAAGGAUUUUAAGACCCAGCAAGAUUAGCUGUCUCAAAUAAUAACAAGGAUUGAUAUAAGAGAAAUAAGCAUCUUUGCCUUGUUUUGAAAUACGACUGAGCAAAUUGGAAGAAUGCCAAAGCUUUAUUAAUCGAAAAAAUUUU